UGGUGGUUGGGCAGCGCAGUGGCACAGCAGUAGAACUGCUACCUCACAGCGCCAGAGAUCCGGGUUCAACCCUGACCUCAGGUGCUGUCUGUGUGGAGUUUGUGCGUUCUCCCUGUGACCACAUGGGUUUCCUCUGGGUGCUCUGGUUUCCUAGGUUUGUAGGUUAAUUGGCCUCCGUAUAAUUGCCAUUAGUGUGUAGUGGGAUAACUAGUGUGAAAGGGUGAGCAAUGGUUGGUAUGGACUUGGUGGACCGAAGGCCCUGUUCCCAUGCUGUAUCUCUAAAUUAAACUAAAAUAACCCAGUUCAAAGUUUAUUCUGCCUGUUUAUUGAUAUGAGUGCUAAGGGGCUUUGCAUUCCACAUGACAGAAUGAGAACUGAUUUCCCCAAGAAAACAGGAAGCUUUUUUGAUCACAGCAAAUUUAGAACAGCUGCAGGAGAUACCCUGUGACCUGCUAACAUUUGUGCCACAUCAGUGCAUUGCAGAGUAAAUUGUGUCAACACACCAAAUGAGAUCAAAUACAAUUUAGUCGUGUAUAUCCCUUUAAAAUUAAUUAACUUUUUUAUAACUCAUCCAAAUACAGCUAAUUGUUCCAAAAUGUGCUGAAAAUCUGUGCUUUGCAUUAAAUCUUCUUAAUACACAUUAAGUGAUGUCUUCUCCAUUAUGUCUUGAUGCCUAAAUCAGACUUUUUUCCUUCUCAGUGGAGCAGCGGAGCUGUCUAAAUAAUUUGCCUGAAAGAAUGUGCUCCAUCUGUCAUUUCAUUAGUUUUACUGUGUUUCGCAAUAGUUCCCUUCUUAAUCUUUUAUUCCACACAUAAUUAAAAUCUGCAAUGGAAUUAACAGAUCCAUCUUUGCAAGGCAUUAACUUUGCAAGCUCGCAUUUGGAUGGUGAUGUUUCCAUGUGGAAGUUGUAGAAUAAGUUGUGCUUAUUCCUAAAAACUAUUUACAGAUCAAAAUAUAUUAAUUAAGAAUUGAUAUUUAUCUGGUGUUUCUUUUAACGUAGUAAACAAUCCAAAUUGUUUUUCAGAAGCGAGAUCUAAUAAAAACGGAUGUAUUCCAAGUUAACUGAGCAGACUUGGGUGGCACCGUGGCGCAGCAAUAGAGUUGCUGCCUUACAGCGGCAGAUAUCCGGGUUCGACCCUGACUACAAGUGCUAACUGUACAGAGUUGGUACGAUCCCCCUGUGACCUGCAUGGGUUUUCUCCGAGAGCUCCGGUUUCCUCCCCCACUCCAAAGAUGUACAGAUGUAGGACUACGUCCUCUGAUUAUAACACAUCGGUAAAUGAAGACCUGCUCCAGUUACUGGAAUGGAUUGCUGCAGCUUUUACAUUGGCUCACCACAUCCUGACCGAUCUUAGCAUUUGGUAAGGAAAUUGAUUCAACGGUGGAACAAAGUGGACAUUCAUGCUGGCGUCUUUUAACUUUUCUUUGGAAGGAAAGCAAUUCUAAUUCAUGGAAAUAAAAGAAUAUUGCGUAAAUGAUCAAGUGAAUUGGAAUUCAAUUAAUUGAUUGAUGAGAUGAAGAUGUGCUGUAGACUUCACAAGGUCUGUCUACUGCUUGUGAUACUUGAUGGGCUGCUGGGGAUGACAGGGACUAACACACCAGGCACCUAUUAACCUUUUUUUUAAAUUAUAUUUGGAGAUUUUAGUAGAAAACAGUUUUCAGUUACAAAAACAUGCUGAGGGAGACCUGCAAGCAAAACAAUGCUUUAAACUCCCACGCAGUGGAUCAGAUAAGGUCAACCCUUUCCAACUAACACCAAAAGUGUCCUAAAUUCUCCAGGUAAGGUCUAUCUUAGUCCGAGUCGACUGUCUGUGGUGUAAAAAUGCAUAAUUCAAAUGGAGGAAUUAAUGCAGAAAAUGCUUGCAAUACUGGACAGAUCAGACAGCAUCAAAGAUGGAUGCAAAAUGCUGAUGUUACGCAGCGAGGCAGGCAGCAUCUUUGGAGAGAUGGAAUGGGUGAAGUUUCGGGUCGAGACCCUUCUUCUGUCAGCAUCUAUGGAGAGUGGAAUAGGGUUACCAAUUCAGGCUGAUGAUCUUUCAAUAGAACAAGAGCAUUGAACCCGAAAUGGAGACAAAAUGAACUGCAGAGGCUGGAAUCUUGAGUAAAACACAAGGUGCUGGAGUGACUCAACAGGUCAGCCAACAUCUCUGGAGGACAAGGAUUAGUGAUGUUUCAGGCUGGAACACAUCUUCAGUCCGAGUGUAAUAGGAGGGAGAAAUCUGGGCAAGAAGUGUGAGUGGGACAAAGCCCAGCAAGUGGUAGGAGGGGGGUUGGGUGAAGUACAUUGACCAAAAAUGUUAAGUCUGUGUCUCUCAUCACGGUGCUGCCUGAUCUGCUGCGUGUUUCAUGCAUUUACUGCUUUAAUUUCCAGUAUCUACAGGUUUUUUUUGUUUUGAUUCUGGUAUAUUGGAUAAUUUGAAACCAGUGUUGGAAACCAUAUAAUCACCUGAAAAGAUUAUGUGUUGUGUUCAGUGUGUCAUGAUACCAAGUUAAAACAAUCUCGCCUGCCAUCCAUUCCCUGCAACUCAAGUUUAAUUUAGUUUAGUUUAGUUUAGUUUAGAGAGAUGCAGCGUGGAAACAGGUCCUUCUGCCCACCGACUCCCUGACUGACAAUCACCCCUUACACUAGUUGUAUCCCAAUCACAAGACACAAUUUACUGAAGCAAAAUCUGCCUACAAAUUGUUUUUUGUAUGUGUGAGCAAACUGGAGCAUCCAAAGAAAGCCCACGCGGUCACAGGCAGAAUGUGAAAACUCCAUACAGACAGCACCCCCAGACAGGGUUGUACCCGGGUCUCUGGCACUGUGAGGCCCCUGUCCCACUUUCACGACCUAAUUGGCGACCUCUGCCGAGUUUGCUCUUGACUCAUACUCGCCGCAUGGUCGCCACGAGGUCAUAGGAGGUCGUAGGAGGUCUUCGUAACUCUUCCUCAUGCUCGUGAGUGGUCUCCAUGUACUCGUGGCCUCAAGUGGGUCGCAGCGUUUUUUCCAGCCUGAUAAACAAUGUCCACGAGUAAAGAAAAUGUUGGCAUGGAAAAAAUUGAUACUUUUUACUCGUAGGUAGGUCUUAGGUAGGUCGUAGUAAGUCGUGAUGGUAGUCGUAGGUAGUCGUAGGUAGUCAUAGGUCGGUAACUGGCCCGAUGUGCAACCAUGACAUCAUUUUAUCAUGUGAUCAUUUUCCACUCGUAGCCCAGUCGUAGUUGGUCGUAGGUGUGGAAGACUGAGGUCGAGGGAGGUCGUAGGAGGUGGUAGACAUAUUCGUAAGAAGUCGUAGACAUAGUCAUAGGAGGCCGUAGGAGGUCUUUUGCUUCGGCGAAUCAACACGACCGUGACAUUUUUUUCAACUCUUCUAGUGUCUUCUAAACCUGUGGAUUAGGUUGUCCAAGUGGGACAGGCCCUUUAGGCAAUAACUCUAGCGUUGCACCACUAUGCCAUCCCAAAAGUCUCUUCUGCGGCCUUGCACUGACAUUUUAAUAACUCUGGCACUGGCCACUCAAAUCAGCUGCCCUGGGCAUUUUAAUUGUUGGUUUUACUGUAUUUUAACGUUGCUGUUUUACCUGCUUUUAACUAUUUAUACUGUUUCAUCAGGGACUGGAUUGUUUUUAUUGUUAUUAUGUGUGAAAUGUUUUAAGUUUCAUGUGCGAUGCUCCGGUAUUCCCUGGGAAACGUCUUCUCAUUUUGCACUGUACAACUGUUGCUUUGCAAGAUGACAAUAAAGGUUGAUUGAUUGAUUGAUUGAUUGGUAGCAUAUUCCAGGCACCCAACACUCUCUGUGUACCUAGCAACCACGUGGGGCAUUACUGAUAUUGGGGUGGGAGAGGAGGAGUGGUGGUGGUGGUGGUGGUGAGUGAGGGUACAAACAUUAAGAGGAAGAGACCCAUAUGCAAUUAACCACAUGUAGAAUGGAAAAAUGGGUACAUCGACAAAAGCACAUGUUUGAGAAGCUGGAUUAAAGCCAAAUUAAAGAAAAUGAAUAGGUUUGUUCCAACACGACAGAAAAAGAAGAGCAAAAAUGACACAAUGGAAAAUAUGCCCAAAAUAGCCUGAACAGUAAGUGGGAAUGUAGCAGUCACGACAUCAACAUGCUUAAUAUUUAUUUUAUAAAGUUGUUAUUAUAUCAAUAUGUACAUAGGCAUAGCAAUGUUUUUUUUGGUCAGAUUUAUGAUAUUUUUCUUUGUGUUUGGUCAUUUAAAAAAAAAUCUCAAAAUUAUUAUUAGCGGUGGAUGUAAGCAUUAAGGUGAGUGGGAUUGGCAUUCUAAAGAUGAUAUAGUGAGUUGGUUCAGGUAAAGAACAGCUAAGGGGCAAAAUAGAUUUUUUGUGAGUGUUCGGUAUAUGCAGUGGAUGGAUUAGAAGUGUUUUGAUGACCGGAUCAAUUAAAGCAGAGUUAGUAUCAGACUGAAGCCUCUGCCACAUUUUUAUAUUUCUCUCAUUAGUCAUCUUUUAAUGGCUUCAAACAAGACCGUCAGUGUGACAGUUUCUUGCCGAGUCACCUAGAUUACAAAUGGCAAACUGUCAUUCUUCCAACCACUCCUACAAGCAGUGAGAUUGAGAGCACAACCAUUCACUCCAUAAACAGGUUAUUUUACUUUCUCCUCCUUGUACCUCUUGUCUCUGCUCCUUAUCCUUGCGGUAAUGGGAACAACUUCUCUCGGUCUACCCUCUCUCAGUCCAUCAACAUCUUGCUUAAAUCUUUGCUCAAAAAUAACUCCUGUUUCACCAGUCUAAUUAUUUUACUGAAAUCCAUCAUCCUUGUAAUCAUUGUAGACAAUCUUUUUACACCAUUUUAAGAGCCUUCAAAUCCUUCCUGAAGUGUAGCUUGCCAGAAAUAGAUUCAAUUAUCUAGUUGGAGCUGAAGCAGUCUAUUAUAAAGCUUCAACCUCCCCUCUUUUUUUGGGUACUCUAUGUGCCUUUGUAGGAUGCCCAGGAUGUAGCAUGAUUUAUUCUCAAAGAUGGACACAAAAUGCUAGAGUAACUCAACGGUUCAGGCAGCAUCUCUGGAGAAAAUGGGCAGGUGACGUUUCAAGUCGGGACCCAUCUUCAGACAUUGUGGGAGUGGGGGGGUGAAGGCUGGAAGCAUGAAAAGACCAGGACAAAUCAGUGCCGGCAACUCAGGCAGGGAGGUUCUCGGAUAGGCCGAUUGUUGGCUGGAGUUGGCUGCGAUCCCGAGAGGGGUACAUCAUUGUGAACUGUGGAUCAGGUAUGCUUCUCGUAAAAGGAAAUAGUCCCAAUGUGGUGAAAUGGGAUUUGUGCUGUUGGGCAAUAAGAUUGGCAGGACUUGAAGGGCCAAAGAGGCCGUUUUGUGCUUUGUCGCUAUGUGUCAUUGCUGUUAAACAGACCUUUGAAUUAUUUAGGAUAUUUUAUUCAACAAAUGAAUAAUGUGCCGAAAUUCAGACUCCAUGGAUGCAAGAGGCAACUGGUGAAAAAGUUAAAUAUCUUUGGGAUAUUUUACUAUAUUAUUCUGUUGAAUGAUUACAAGGUUAACAAUGUUCUCUAAACUCAUUAGUUUUACAAAUAACUGAGGAAUAUUCCAUUCGACUUGCCUAGUCGGAACAAAUCCAUACCAUACAGAAAUACCUCAAAUCCACUAAGCAUGAUGUUAUCUCAAUAGCCCACAGUGCUACAGUAGGCCCCCUACCU